rfam:Otolemur garnettii contig131869, whole genome shotgun sequence.
GUGCUCACUUCAGCAGCACAUACAUUAAAAUUGUGAUGAUGCAGAGAUUAGCAUGGGCCCUGUACAAGGAUAACAUGAAAAUUAGUGAAAAAACAUAGUUUUAA